AGGAGCACCCGCCGCUGGCAGCCACUCUCCUGGCCGCCAAACCCCAGCCGGAACUCCGGCCACAGCCAGCAUGCAGGGCGAAGAGAGCCUCCGGAUCCUGGUGGAGCCCGAAGGGGACAGCUUCCCGCUGAUGGAGAUCAGCACCUGUGAGACCGAGGCCUCCGAGCAGUGGGACUAUGUCCUCGUGGCCCAACGUCACACCCAGAGAGACCCCCGGCAGGCGCGGCAGCAACAGUUCCUGGAGGAGCUCAGGAGAAAGGGCUUCCACAUUAAGGUGAUCCGGGACCAGAAACAGGUCUUCUUUGGGAUCCGUGCUGACAACAGCGUCUUUGGCCUGUACCGCACUCUCCUCCUGGAGCCUGAGGGGCCUGCGCCCCACGCUGAGCUGGCCGCGCCGACCACCAUCCCGGUCACCACGAGGUGAGAGGCUGCACCCAGAGCCGUGGCCAGGAGAACCCCUUGCCACCCGUAUGCUUGGUCCAGACCAGGCAGGAGACAGUGCCAGGCUCCAGGUGUCGCCAAGGCAGGACAGCCGCGUGGUCUCAGGGCAGGGGCCACAGGCUGUGUGAGCCUCAGCUUCCCCGUCCCAAUAAAGGAUCACGGUGGUUCUCAACCCUCAGAGCGUUCUGAGGGCUCCGUGUGGCUGCCUGCGUUCCUGGGGACACAGUCACAGCCAGCCUUAGGGGUUGGGCAGGAUUUGCAGAGGCCCAGGGGCCCCUCCUGGACCAAGGCCAGUGUCUCUUGAAGACCCCUCCUCUCCAGUUCCGAUGCCCCUUCCUGGACACCGUCCCUGGCCUCCCAGGCACAGACCCAGAGGCCCGGCAGGGACACCCUCCUUGCUCCCUAAGGCCCUGCUUCUCCCCAAUCCUCCAGCCCAGGAGGGAGCCUCCAAGCCUGGCCCUCCAUGCCCCCAUGAGCUGCCCAGCCCCAUCCAGGCCCCACAGGGCUCAGCCAGGGCCUGCUUGGUGGACCGGCCAAGGACACUCCUGGCAUUGGUUACGAGGCAGUGGAGGGCACCUGUGAAGUGAGCUAUGGGUCUUGGGGAGUCGCGAGGCGGCAUCAAAGGAGGGGAGGUGGCUUGAGGGGGCUGACGGGAGCAGGCUUGGGGGGCGCGUACCUGCGACGUGCCCUGGGGUGUCCAGGAGCCAUGUCUCUAGGCACAGGGGGAGGCUGGGAGCCUGGCUCUGCCGUCGGACGCUUGGCUGUGCUGCUUCGUGGCUGUGUGGCCUUGGGACGUUCCCUUUCCUGAGCCCCAGUCUCUGCACAGUGGAACAGAACAGCUCCAGGGUAUAAGGAGGGUGUGUGCGGAUGCAGGCUGGGGUGUGCUCUGGACACAUGGGGCCCGCAGGUGGGAGGUGUGGUUGCAGGUGCGGGCUGUGGUCUGGGCUUCUGGGAGGGACGGGCUGGGAGGAGAGGGAGCCCCCCAGCCCAGCCUCAUCCUGGACGCCGUGGGGCAGGCCAGGCCCCGGGAGCACUUUAAGGAGGGUGCGGGGUGGGCUCCCGGGUGAGUUGUGGAUUCUGGGCUCUGGUCAGAGCUGGCAGGCUGGGGGCUCUGCCAGGACAGGGAGGGGCCUGGGCCUGGCCAGACCAGAGGGCAGGUUGAGACCUGGAGGCAGGGUCCACUGUGGUCACACGGGGCCACCCUGCUCUGGCUCUCGAGUCUCAGAAUCCGAAUCGUGAACUUCGUUGUCAUGAACAACAAGACCUCGGCUGGUGGUAAGGGCAGGGGUGGGGCACCGACAGGGGCGCUGCGGGCAGGGUUCUCCCAGCACCUCACUCCCCCUGACUCGUGAACCCCUGUGACCCAGAGACCUUCGAAGAUCUGAUGAAGGACGGGGUCUUCGAGGCCAGGUUCCCCCUGCACAAGGUGAGGGGUGAGCCGGCCUGGAGAGGGCCCUGGCGUGGGACCCUGGGAUGGGGGCUCUUACUCUCUGUCACCCGAGCCAGGGGGAGGGACACCUGAAGAAGACGUGGGCGCGGUGGAGACACAUGUUCCGGGAGCAGCCAGUUGAUGAAAUCAGGAACUACUUUGGGGAAAAGGUGGCCCUGUACUUCGUCUGGCUGGGCUGGUACACCUACAUGCUGGUGCCGGCCGCCCUGACGGGCCUCUUAGUCUUUCUGAGCGGAUUCUCGCUGUUUGAGGCCAGCCAGAUCAGCAAGGAGAUCUGUGAGGCCCACGACAUCCUCAUGUGUCCCCUCGGCGACCACAGCCGCAGGUACCAGCGGCUCUCGGAAACCUGCACUUUUGCCAAGGUUUGUCGCCUCCGGGUCCACCCCAGGGCCUGUGGAAGAUGGGAACGGUGCACCCACCCGAAGGGGGGGAGGUCAAGGCCUGGAGCCCUGCAGAGCUGCUCAGCUUUCCCCACAGGGCUGACGGGGAGGCCCAGCCCCAGCCCACCCGCCCAUUUCCUCAGCCCACCUGCCCCCUUCCCUGGCUUUCCUGCCUCCCUCCCUGGCUCACCUGCCCCCCUCCCCAGCUCACCCACCUCCUCUCCGGCCCACCUAUCACCCCCCCAGCUCACCCACCUCUUUGACAAUGAUGGCACGGUGGUGUUCGCCAUCUUCAUGGCUCUCUGGGGUGAGUUGCUGCGGGGCGCCUCUGCGGGGCCAGGGGAAGUGCCAGCCCAAGCUCCGAGGUCCACCUGGCAUAGUGCAGUGAUGCCCCUCCUUGCCCCCGCCGCAGCCACGGUGUUCCUGGAGAUCUGGAAGCGGCAGCGCGCCCGCGUGGUCCUGCACUGGGACCUGUACGUGUGGGACGAGGAACAGGAGGAAAUGGCACUUCAGCUCAUUAACUGCCCCGACUACAAGCUCCGGCCAUACCAGCACUCCUACCUACGCAGCACCGUCAUCCUCGUCCUGACCCUGCUCAUGAUCUGCCUCAUGAUCGGCAUGGCCCACGUCCUGGUGGUCUACCGCGUCCUGGCCUCCGCGCUCUUCAGCAGCUCGGCCGUGUCCUUCCUGGAGGAGCGGGUGACCACGGCCGUGGUAGUGACCGGGGCUCUGGUGCACUAUGUGACCAUCGUCAUCAUGACCAAGGUGGGGCCGGGAGCAGGGCAGGCCCGAGCUGGGGGGUCCACCGGAGCCCCAGUGAGCCCAUUCGGUGCCCUCCUCCGCAGAUCAACAGGCGCGUGGCCCUGAAGCUUUGUGACUUCGAGAUGCCCAGGACCUUCUCGGAGCGAGAGAGCAGGUUCACCAUCCGCUUCUUCACGCUGCAGUUCUUCACCCAUUUCUCGUCUCUCAUCUACAUCGCCUUCAUCCUGGGCAGGAUCAACGGCCACCCCGGGAAGUCCACGCGCCUGGCGGGCUUGUGGAAGCUGGAAGAGUGCCACGCCAGCGGCUGCAUGAUGGACCUCUUCGUGCAGAUGGCCAUCAUCAUGGGCCUGAAGCAGACGCUCAGCAACUGCGUCGAGUACCUGGUCCCGUGGGUGACCCACAAGUGCCGCUCUCUGCGGGCCUCCGAGUCCGGGCACCUGCCCCGGGACCCCGAGCUCAGGGACUGGCGGCGCAACUACCUUCUGAACCCGGUCAACACCUUCAGCCUGUUCGACGAGUUCAUGGAGAUGAGUGCGUGGGCGCUGCGGGGCGGGGGUUCGCGGAGACGAAUGCGGGGCGGGGGUCCACGGACAUGAGUGCGGGGCACCGGCGAGCCUGACCCCCCACCGCGCAGUGAUCCAGUACGGCUUCACCACCAUCUUCGUGGCUGCCUUCCCGCUGGCGCCGCUGCUCGCGCUCUUCAGCAACCUCGUGGAGAUCCGCCUGGACGCCAUCAAGAUGGUCUGGUUGCAGCGGCGCCUGGUGCCGCGCAAGGCCAAGGACAUCGGUCAGACCGGGCGGGCGCAGGAUGGGCGGGAACUGGGCGGCCUCAGGCCUGUGGGCUUCCCGCUGGCCAGUCCAGCUCACCUGGAGAAAAAUAAUCUCUCGGAUCUCACGCCGCAGACAGCCCCCAGCCCUUCUCCGACGGCCUCGGAUGCGGGUUGAGCCUGGGUGGGAAAGUCCCAGGAGUGGGCGGGGCCGAGCGCUUUGUAGGCUCCUCCCACAAACCGUCAGGAUCUCAGAGGGGCUUGACGCCCCCAAGGGGGACCCAGGUUCUGCCAGUGGCUGGGGCAGGAACAGAGCAGCCGGCCUCUGUCCCAAGACUGGCCUCGCUGAGACGGACAGGCAGCAGGGGAGCGACGGGGGCUGGGGCGCUGGAUGUGGGGAAAGGGAGAGAGGUGUUAGGGAGGCCCCCAGUCUCGGGCCCGGGUUACAAGGUCUUACCCUGGGGUGGGAACCCAGGAGGUGGAGUGGCUGGGGGGCACAGCUGAGAAGUUCAGGAAGAUGGAGGAUGAGGAUUCCCAGGUUCCUCCCUGUCCAUGUCAGGGUGAGGGGUGCAGGAGCGCAGAGGCCAUGCUCUGCCAUGGCUGGGGACUUCCUUGUGAAUACUGCAGCCCUAGGGCUGCAAGGGGACACCACGCACAGAGACACGGCAGGCCCCGUGUUGGCCGGGGGUGGGGGUGGGGGCAGAACCAGCCGAGGGACACCACGCAGAGACACGGCAGGCCCCGUGUUGGCCGGGGGUGGGGGUAGGGGCAGAACCAGCCGAGGGAUGCUGAGUCAGACCGCUUGCCCACUGCUCUGGUGCAGGGACCUGGCUGCAGGUGCUGGAGACCAUCGGUGUGCUGGCGGUCAUUGCCAAUGGGAUGGUCAUUGCCUUCACAUCUGAGUUCAUCCCCCGAGUGGUCUACAAGUACCGCUAUAGCCCAUGCCUGAAAGAAGGCAACUCUACCGUCGACUGCCUCAAGGGCUACGUCAACCACAGCCUGUCCGUCUUCCACACCAAGGACUUCCAGGACCCUGAUGGGAUUGAGGGCUCAGAAAACGUGACUCUGUGCAGGUUUGGAACUCCCCAUCCCCCAAGAAUGCCCUCUGAACUCCUGACCCCUGACCUCAGGUACUUCCUUACCCCAGAUACAGGGACUACCGCAAUCCCCCCGAUUACAACUUCUCCGAGAAGUUCUGGUUCCUCCUGGCCAUCCGCCUGGCCUUCGUCAUCCUCUUUGAGCACGUGGCCUUGUGCAUCAAGCUCAUUGCCGCCUGGUUCGUGCCCGACAUCCCUCAGUCGGUGAAGAACAAGGUUCUGGAGGUGAAGUACCAGAGGCUGCGUGAGAAGAUGUGGCAUGGAAGGCAGAGGCUGGGCGGGGUGGGGGCAGGCUCUCGGCCCCCGAUGCCUGCCCAUCCCACCCCAGCAUCCAUCUUCAGUGCCAGGAGCACAGACGUGUAGGGCCAGAGCCCGUCCAGAGGCCACCAGGAGCUGACAGUGCCACCACCAGCACCUCCCACAAGCCCACCGCUGUGCGUGUUGAGGGGUGCCGUGAGAAGUCUGUGCCCAUGUGGGGCUGCAGGAGUCCCCUGUAUGUUCAGGGCUGUGAGCUGCCACCCUAUUCUGCCUGCUUCGUCUUUGUGGGGGCUCUCAGGCUUGGCACAGCCCUGACUUGAACUCUGGGUGACCCCGGGCACCCACAGAACUGGGAGUGAGGGCUCCUCAGGCAGCCACAAGGCAGGAAAACUGGCACAAGUUUCCUGGGCCUCCCUCUGACUUCUGGGCGCCAGAUCCUGCCGUGCCCCCAUCCUGGCUGUUGGGGGUGUCCUGAGCCCACCUCGCUGGCCUGUUCCCUUCAGCCAGCCCCAGUUUCUGUAAUAAAAUUAAACCUGUC
rnacentral:sRNA from 1 species